UAGUGUAGUGGAGCUUGAGUGUCUGAGGCUAAUACCAGGAGUUUGAUCCCGUCCGUGUUAAUGUUUGCAUUUAAAAGGCAUUAUCCAUUUCCCUGUUUUUCAUCUCCCAGGAAACACUGGCAAACUUGGAAAGACAGAUCUAUGCUUUUGAAGGGAGCUACCUGGAAGACACUCAGAUGUACGGCAAUAUCAUUCGGGGCUGGGAUCGGUACCUGACCAACCAGAAAAACUCCAAUAGCAAAAACGAUCGAAGGAACCGGAAGUUUAAGGAAGCUGAGCGUCUCUUCAGUAAAUCCUCAGUUACUUCAGCAGCUGCAGUAAGUGCAUUGGCUGGAGUUCAGGAUCAGCUCAUUGAAAAGAGGGAGCCGGGAAGCGGGACGGAAAGCGAUACUUCUCCAGACUUCCACAAUCAGGAAAAUGAGCCGAGCCAGGAGGACCCCGAGGAUCUGGACGGAUCUGUGCAGGGAGUGAAGCCUCAGAAGGCUGCUUCUUCUACUUCCUCAGGGAAUCAUCACAGCAGCCAUAAAAAACGAAAGAAUAAAAACCGGCACAGCCCGUCUGGCAUGUUUGAUUAUGACUUUGAGUAUGUAUAUUAGGUUAGGCUGGGAAGUUUUUUUUAAAAACAGAAAAACGUGAUGGAGGAUUGAUCUGAAGUUAAACAAAAAACCACGAGCUGACUAUUAGAAGACUCGUUAGUGCAGAAGCUUCCAGGCUAUAGAGCCCUGCUUCCCUUCUCCAACCUCACAAAGAUAAAUAUCCCUCACCUGAGUGCGGGCCGUCCACCUCUGCUUUCCCAGACCCAGUGCCUGUGACUCUGAAUCGUCCUGAACCGUGGUGACCAGUCAUUUCUGUAAGACCACAUUGCAUCGUUUACUUUGUGUCAUUUUUAGUAACAGAACUGCAAGAAGACCAGCCGUGGUUAUAAUUCCAGCAAGUCGCUAACUGUGCGUUUCUCCCUUCUUGGAAUGAAUGUCUCCCCCCACUCCCCCGGCCUGUCCCCACCCUGCCCCCCAAACUGGCUGGCACCAGCUUCUUCGUCUGUGAAACCUGUGGAGAAAUGUUCUCCGGUUUUGUUUGAUGCUGAAGUAGAACAUAGGGCACAGCUCAGAAGGAGGCUGUAAAUAUCUGGCAUUUUCGUUUUUUGUGUCUAUUUUCUUAUUUUUCUAUGGUUUUUACCAUCUUCUUUUCUUUUGGGACUUUUUGUAAUGCCGUUGUACAGCUCAAAACUUCCUGCUGGUAUAUCUGAUGAUUCGCUUCCUGCAGUUGCCAAUAUUCUUAACAGAAAGUAAUCUGGUUUGCCAUAAAUAAAAUGGGAAACUUGGCUCUGGGUUUUUUUUUGUUUUUUUUUUUUUGUGCAGGGGAAAGGUAAAGAGUGUUUAUUUAAUAAUUACCUAUCUUAAAUCUCUCUGCGUUGGAAGCAAUUUCAUAUUCAAGGAAUAGGAGAAGCUGAAAAGCCGAAGUUUAAAUCAGUCCUUUUAAAAUAGAUAUUUUUAUUCUUUUAUAUAAAUAAAAUUUCACAGGUGUUGACUUCUCAUGCUUUACUUUUAAACCCGAGAUUGUUUUUUCACUUAUUUUAUUUAUUCGUAUCAUGCCUUAUGGAAAUUUCUUUCUUCUCCCAUUUUUCUCUCUUUGCCGGUUAUCUGCCUGAUUAAACAUUUGCUCUAAAAAUCAUUAAGGCAUAGGGAAAGGCUCCCGCUCACACCCAAAGCUGGUGAUGCAGGGAGUUCUUGAGCAGAGGAAAGCCAGGAUCCGCGAGAGCCGGCCGUGCGCAGAGCCCCUCCUCAGCAGGCUGGCUGUGCUGAGGACCUUCCUCUAGAGAGUGCUCGGCCUCGGCUGCUCACUGGAGCCACUUGGGGAGCUGAAAGACCUACCAAUGCCUGCCCCUCCCCCCCCACACCCCGCCCCAGAGACUCUGACUGGGGUGCCGUCUAGUUUUGGGGGAUUUCCUUCCAAAGAGUCCCUGGGAUUCUGAUAAGAAGCCGGGUUGUGAACCACUGCAUUAGGAGUGUUUGACUGAAACCCUAUGUUGCGAAUCAGUCUAUGGGAUAAGAUUUGGGGCCCUACCUUUCCUUUGAUACUGUUUAGUCAUAGUCCUUGACUUCUGCCCAUAUCUUUGUUAGAAAAAAUAUGUUCCAUUGUGAUAAUAUUGGUAGAGCUGAAUGCGGAUGGCGUCUGUUAUCGAAAUGAGUCUACCUUGUUGGAUGUGCAAAAGCUUUCAGUCUUGUUCUCGAAUAAACUUUUUUUUCUUUGACUCUGUGGCUAA